rfam:Listeria phage A511, complete genome.
UGUCCCGUAGCUAGAAGGUCGAGCAAGGAGCUCAUAACUCCUCGGUUUGGGUUCGAUUCCCAACGGGGCAA